UGGGGAAUAUUGCACAAUGGGCGAAAGCCUGAUGCAGCAACGCCGCGUGAGUGAUGAAGGUCUUCGGAUUGUAAAGCUCUGUCUUUUGGGACGAUAAUGACGGUACCAAAGGAGGAAGCCACGGCUAACUACGUGCCAGCAGCCGCGGUAAUACGUAGGUGGCGAGCGUUGUCCGGAUUUACUGGGCGUAAAGGGUGCGUAGGCGGUCUUUUAAGUCUGAUG
rnacentral:rRNA from 1 species